rnacentral:tRNA from 1 species
UCUUUGAUGGUCUAACGGUCAUGAUUUCCGCUUGUCACUCAUAUGGCAAUGCGCGGGAGACCGGGGUUCGACUCCCCGUCAGAGAG